UUUGACCUCGGAUCAGGUAGGGAUACCCGCUGAACUUAAGCAUAUCAAUAAGCGGAGGAAAAGAAACCAACAGGGAUUGCCCUAGUAACGGCGAGUGAAGCGGCAACAGCUCAAAUUUGAAAUCUGGCUCUCUUUGGGGGUCCGAGUUGUAAUUUGCAGAGGAUGCUUUGGCAUUGGCGGCGGUCUAAGUUCCUUGGAACAGGACAUCGCAGAGGGUGAGAAUCCCGUACGUGGGCGCCUGCCUUUGCCGUGUAAAGCUCCUUCGACGAGUCGAGUUGUUUGGGAAUGCAGCUCUAAAUGGGAGGUAAAUUUCUUCUAAAGCUAAAUACCGGCCAGAGACCGAUAGCGCACAAGUAGAGUGAUCGAAAGAUGAAAAGUACUUUGGAAAGAGAGUCAAAAAGCACGUGAAAUUGUUGAAAGGGAAGCGCUUGCAGCCAGACUUGCCCGCAGUUGCUCACCUAGGCUUUGGCCUGGGGCACUCUUCUGCGGGCAGGCCAGCAUCAGUUUGGGCGGUUGGAUAAAGGCCUCUGUCACGUAUCUUCCUUCGGGAUGACCUUAUAGGGGAGGCGUAAUGCAACCAGCCCGGACUGAGGUCCGCGCAUCUGCUAGGAUGCUGGCGUAAUGGCUGUAAGCGGCCCGUCUUGAAACACGGACCAAGGAGUCUAACAUCUAUGCGAGUGUUUGGGUGUCAAGCCCGGGCGCGCAAUGAAAGUGAACGGAGGUGGGAACCCUUUUGGGUGCACCAUCGACCGAUCCUGAUGUCUUCGGAUGGAUUUGAGUAAGAGCAUAGCUGUUGGGACCCGAAAGAUGGUGAACUAUGCUUGAAUAUGGUGAAGCCAGAGGAAACUCUGGUGGAGGCUCGCAGCGGUUCUGACGUGCAAAUCGAUCGUCAAAUUUGGGCAUAGGGGCGAAAGACUAAUCGAACCAUCU
rnacentral:rRNA from 1 species